AAUUUGUAGAGGAUGCUUUUGGCAAGGUGCCUUCCGAGUUCCCUGGAACGGGACGCCAUANAGGGUGAGAGCCCCGUCUGGUCGGACACCGAGCCUCUGUAAAGCUCCUUCGACGAGUCGAGUACCUUGGGAAUGCUGCUCAAAAUGGGAGGUAUAUGUCUUCUAAANNNAAAUAUAGGCCAGAGACCGAUAGCGCACAAGUAGAGUGAUCGAAAGAUGAAAAGCACUUUGAAAAGAGGGUUAAAAAUUUNUGAAAUUGUUGAAAGGNAAGCNCCUAUGACCAAACUUGAUCCCGGAGAAUCAUCC
rnacentral:rRNA from 1 species